CGGUGUUUAACUGGCGUGAUGUGGGACGUCCUACCGGUGGGCUUAGCCUCGCGAGGGGCGGCCCAACUAAUAUCCCGUCGCGGUGCUCUUUACUGAGUGUCGAGUCGGGCCGGUACGUUUACUUUGAACAAAUUAGAGUGCUUAAAGCAGGCUAUCCUCGCCUGAAUACUGCGUGCAUGGAAUAAUGGAAUAGGACCUCGGUUCUAUUUUGUUGGUUUUCGGAACCCCGAGGUAAUGAUUAAUAGGGACAGAUGGGGGCAUUCGUAUUGCGACGUUAGAGGUGAAAUUCUUGGAUCGUCGCAAGACGGACAGAAGCGAAAGCAUUUGCCAAAAAUGUUUUCAUUAAUCAAGAACGAAAGUUAGAGGUUCGAAGGCGAUCAGAUACCGCCCUAGUUCUAACCAUAAACGAUGCCAGCUAGCGAUCCGCCGAAGUUCCUCCGAUGACUCGGCGGGCAGCUUCCGGGAAACCAAAGCUUUUGGGUUCCGGGGGAAGUAUGGUUGCAAAGCUGAAACUUAAAGGAAUUGACGGAAGGGCACCACCAGGAGUGGAGCCUGCGGCUUAAUUUGACUCAACACGGGAAACCUCACCAGGCCCAGACACCGGAAGGAUUGACAGAUUGAUAGCUCUUUCUUGAUUCGGUGGGUGGUGGUGCAUGGCCGUUCUUAGUUGGUGGAGCGAUUUGUCUGGUUAAUUCCGAUAACGAACGAGACUCUAGCCUGCUAAAUAGGUGUACCUUAUGGUAUCGCGAAGGCCCCCGGCUUCGGCCGGUGGGUUUUUACUACCAACGUACAAACAAAUCUUCUUAGAGGGACAGGCGG
rnacentral:rRNA from 1 species